UAAUAAUUAACUUUUAUACUAAAUAUAAUUUCCUGUAUCAAGCCAUUAUGAAAUGACAGUCUUUUUCUUCCUUCCUUCCAGGUUUGAUAAUAGAACUUCAGUCAGAGGCAGCUUUAAACAUCUACUCACAUAAGUAUUCAAUUAAAUGGAUGCUGUGACACAAGUUACAUGGUACUAUAAGACAACUAGAUUUUAUGUAGGUCAGAAUUGAUAAGAAUCUUGGAUUACCAAAUCAAUAUCUGUUGUAGAUUUUACCUUCUAGGAUCAGUAAUGGAAUACAUUGGCUUCCCAGAGUUUCCAAUGAAGGUUGUAACCAGCUGUUCUGGUUAAUUAUGUCCUUUUUAUGUCUAAGAGAGAUAGGAUGCUAAAGCUUUAACCUCAAAUUAAUUUUUGCACCUUUCCAAUCACACCAGGACAAAAGGUUGAAUUUUAUGCAAAUUUAGUGCAUCGGUAUACUAGAUCAAACAUAUUUUCAUAUCGUUUGAAAUGCAGAUUUGCCGGACUUUUACUUUACAGCUCUCUUUUUAUAUGAGGCUUUUAACUGCACACUCUCCUUGGUUCAUUUCUCAUAUGUGCUUUUGGGUCAAUUACAACCCUGCCUCACUGCUUGCCUUGUUCUCUGGCAGCAAGAUAAACACUGAACAGAGCCUUUUAUCUUUGCAGGGCCUCUCCAGAUACAGCACUAGAAUGACUUUUCUCUCUUCAAUGUAUUAUUUAUGGGAUUUUAAGUUAUUCUUUCUUCGGUGUGAAACCAAAACUUUCUUGUGCACUGCAGCAGAUGCGGCAGGAACCUAGCCGGCAACACUUCAUCUCACCCAGAAGAGAUCCAGACUCCUUCCUUGAGUGGCCUGGGCCUGCUUCCUCCUCCCUCUCUUCUCUCCAUGAACUUCAUUACAGCAACUCGGGUUUUUCUGCUGUUCCUCAAAUAUUCCAAGUUUGAUCCUGCCUCAAGGUUUUGCACUUCCCUCUGCCUGGAACAGAAUCCUUGCCCAGAACUCUGCAGGACUUGCCUCCUUAUCUCCAUUCCAACACAACCCCUGAAGAAAGGCCUUCUCUUAUGAUUCUUUCGUUUUUUUUCAUAUCACAUGUUGCUUUUAAUGGCAUUAAAUUCACUGGGAAAAUAGUGAGUUGGGAAGCAACUCACUUUUACAGAUUAUGCUUCAGUUUCAACCGCAAGUUGGCUAUGGAUACAAGAGUUCUGCAAAACUAAAGUAUUCUCUGAGAAUCAAUUGGCUCUAUGGAAUUAACGAAAAAGAAUAUUGCUCAUUUUAUUACUAAUUAUAGAUGAGGUCCUGCAAUGCUUCAUAUCAGUAAAAUUGAUGAUGAGUACAUGUAUACGUAUACGUAUACGUAUAUGUAUAUGUAUAUGUAUAUGUAUAUGUACUCCUCCCCAGCCAGCCGCUUAACAUGGACCAUCAGCCUGACCUUUAGGGUAAGUGGUUCCUGGCUUUCCUUUAUAAUUUAGUCACUUUUCAAUUUUCCUCUUACCUAGAUGUGACCCAGGCACCUCAGAGCCUGGAGAAGUCUCUGGCACAUAGUAGAUCUUUAAAAGAUGCUGCUGGAGUGGAUAAACUCCUGAGGAUUGCUAAUUUUACAGAGCAACCAGCAGUGACAAUACAAUUCUGAAUCUUUCAAUAAAAUGGCAGAAAAAGCCAGGGAACAUUAUGUUUUCUUGUUUUUUAAUCUCUGUAAACCUCCUUAAAUCUUUUUAGAGUCAACACAGUAUAAUUUUUUUUAAAACAACAACAACGAUAAUAAGAACUACCAUCGACUGUGUGCUUGGGAAAUGCCUAAUAAAUAGCAUUUUUCGUGUAGAAUCUCAUAAGUACAAUCUCUAAGAGUAGGUGAUACAAUAAAAAACGUAAAACACUUUUGAUAUGUACAAAAGUUUGUUUUAUCUUUUAGUAAUUCAAUUAUAAUUAAAACUAUUAUAUUUAAA
rnacentral:lncRNA from 1 species